GUCUACGGCCAUGCUACCAUGAACAAGCUCGAUUCUGUCUGAUCUCGGAAGCUAAGCAGGGUCGGGCCUGUUUAGUACUUAAAUGGGAGACUACCUAGGAAGACCAGGUGCUAUAGGCG
rfam:Pteropus alecto contig101200, whole genome shotgun sequence.